rnacentral:rRNA from 1 species
GUCCACGCCCUAAACGAUGCACACUUGGUGUGGGCAGUUCAUUCUGUCUGUGCCGGAGUUAACGCGUUAAGUGUGCCGCCUGGGGAGUACGGUAGCAAGGCUGAAACUCAAAGGAAUUGACGGGGGCCCGCACAAGCGGUGGAGCAUGUGGUUCAAUUCGACGCAACGCGAAGAACCUUACCUGGGCUCGAACGGCUCACGAAAGCGCCUGGAAACAGGUGUUUCCCGCAAGGGACGGGAGUCGAGGUGCUGCAUGGCUGUCGU